AACAAGUACCGCGAGGUAA
rnacentral:snRNA from 1 species